rnacentral:rRNA from 1 species
UUAAGCGACUAAGCGUACACGGUGGAUGCCCUGGCAGUCAGAGGCGAUGAAGGACGUGCUAAUCUGCGAAAAGCGUCGGUAAGGUGAUAUGAACCGUUACAGCCGGCGAUGUCCGAAUGGGGAAACCCAGUGCAAUUCGUUGCACUAUCGUUAACUGAAUACAUAGGUUAACGAGGCGAACCGGGGGAACUGAAACAUCUAAGUACCCCGAGGAAAAGAAAUCAACCGAGAUUCCCCCAGUAGCGGCGAGCGAACGGGGAGCAGCCCAGAGUCUGAAUCAGCUUGUGUGUUAGUGGAACGGUCUGGAAAGUCCGACGGUACAGGGUGAUAGUCCCGUACACCAAAAUGCACAGGUUGUGAACUCGAAGAGUAGGGCGGGACACGUGGUAUCCUGUCUGAAUAUGGGGGGACCAUCCUCCAAGGCUAAAUACUCCUGACUGACCGAUAGUGAACCAGUACCGUGAGGGAAAGGCGAAAAGAACCCCGGCGAGGGGAGUGAAAAAGAACCUGAAACCGUGUACGUACAAGCAGUGGGAGCACCUUCGGGUGUGACUGCGUACCUUUUGUAUAAUGGGUCAGCGACUUAUAUUCUGUAGCAAGGUUAACCGUAUAGGGGAGCCGCAGGGAAACCGAGUCUUAACUGGGCGUUAAGUUGCAGGGUAUAGACCCGAAACCCGGUGAUCUAGCCAUGGGCAGGUUGAAGGUUGGGUAACACUAACUGGAGGACCGAACCGACUAAUGUUGAAAAAUUAGCGGAUGACUUGUGGCUGGGGGUGAAAGGCCAAUCAAACCGGGAGAUAGCUGGUUCUCCCCGAAAGCUAUUUAGGUAGCGCCUCGUGAACUCAUCUUCGGGGGUAGAGCACUGUUUCGGCUAGGGGGUCAUCCCGACUUACCAACCCGAUGCAAACUACGAAUACCGAAGAAUGUUAUCACGGGAGACACACGGCGGGUGCUAACGUCCGUCGUGAAGAGGGAAACAACCCAGACCGCCAGCUAAGGUCCCAAAGUCACAGUUAAGUGGGAAACGAUGUGGGAAGGCACAGACAGCCAGGAUGUUGGCUUAGAAGCAGCCAUCAUUUAAAGAAAGCGUAAUAGCUCACUGGUCGAGUCGGCCUGCGCGGAAGAUGUAACGGGGCUAAACCAUGCACCGAAGCUGCGGCAGCGACACUAUGUGUUGUUGGGUAGGGGAGCGUUCUGUAAGCCUGCGAAGGUGGCCUGUGAGGGUUGCUGGAGGUAUCAGAAGUGCGAAUGCUGACAUAAGUAACGAUAAUGCGGGUGAAAAGCCCGCACGCCGGAAGACCAAGGGUUCCUGUCCAACGUUAAUCGGGGCAGGGUGAGUCGACCCCUAAGGCGAGGCCGAAAGGCGUAGUCGAUGGGAAACAGGUUAAUAUUCCUGUACUUGGUGUUACUGCGAAGGGGGGACGGAGAAGGCUAUGUUAGCCGGGCGACGGUUGUCCCGGUUUAAGCAUGUAGGCGGAGGUUCCAGGUAAAUCCGGUACCUUUUAACGCUGAGGUGUGAUGACGAGGCACUACGGUGCUGAAGUAACAAAUGCCCUGCUUCCAGGAAAAGCCUCUAAGCAUCAGGUAACAUUAAAUCGUACCCCAAACCGACACAGGUGGUCAGGUAGAGAAUACCAAGGCGCUUGAGAGAACUCGGGUGAAGGAACUAGGCAAAAUGGUGCCGUAACUUCGGGAGAAGGCACGCUGAUAUGUAGGUGAAGCCCCUGCGGGUGGAGCUGAAAUCAGUCGAAGAUACCAGCUGGCUGCAACUGUUUAUUAAAAACACAGCACUGUGCAAACACGAAAGUGGACGUAUACGGUGUGACGCCUGCCCGGUGCCGGAAGGUUAAUUGAUGGGGUUAUCCGUAAGGAGAAGCUCUUGAUCGAAGCCCCGGUAAACGGCGGCCGUAACUAUAACGGUCCUAAGGUAGCGAAAUUCCUUGUCGGGUAAGUUCCGACCUGCACGAAUGGCGUAAUGAUGGCCAGGCUGUCUCCACCCGAGACUCAGUGAAAUUGAACUCGCUGUGAAGAUGCAGUGUACCCGCGGCAAGACGGAAAGACCCCGUGAACCUUUACUAUAGCUUGACACUGAACAUUGAGCCUUGAUGUGUAGGAUAGGUGGGAGGCUUUGAAGCGUGGACGCCAGUCUGCGUGGAGCCAACCUUGAAAUACCACCCUUUAAUGUUUGAUGUUCUAACGUUGGCCCCUGACCGGGGUUGCGGACAGUGUCUGGUGGGUAGUUUGACUGGGGCGGUCUCCUCCCAAAGAGUAACGGAGGAGCACGAAGGUUAGCUAAUCCUGGUCGGACAUCAGGAGGUUAGUGCAAUGGCAUAAGCUAGCUUGACUGCGAGCGUGACGGCGCGAGCAGGUGCGAAAGCAGGUCAUAGUGAUCCGGUGGUUCUGAAUGGAAGGGCCAUCGCUCAACGGAUAAAAGGUACUCCGGGGAUAACAGGCUGAUACCGCCCAAGAGUUCAUAUCGACGGCGGUGUUUGGCACCUCGAUGUCGGCUCAUCACAUCCUGGGGCUGAAGUAGGUCCCAAGGGUAUGGCUGUUCGCCAUUUAAAGUGGUACGCGAGCUGGGUUUAGAACGUCGUGAGACAGUUCGGUCCCUAUCUGCCGUGGGCGCUGGAGAAUUGAGGGGGGCUGCUCCUAGUACGAGAGGACCGGAGUGGACGCAUCACUGGUGUUCGGGUUGUCAUGCCAAUGGCAUUGCCCGGUAGCUAAAUGCGGAAGAGAUAAGUGCUGAAAGCAUCUAAGCACGAAACUUGCCCCGAGAUGAGUUCUCCCUGAGACUUUAAGUCUCCUGAAGGAACGUUAAAGACGAUGACGUUGAUAGGUCGGGUGUGUAAGCGUAGCGAUACGUUGAGCUAACCGAUACUAAUGAACCGUGAGGCUUAACCUU